CACGUAGGGUGCGAGCGUUUGUCCGGAAUUAUUGGGCGUAAAGAGCUCGUAGGCGGUGUGUCGCGUCGGCCGUGAAAACCUGCAGCUUAACUGUGGGCGUGCGGGCGAUACGGGCAGACUAGAGUACUGCAGGGGAGACUGGAAUUCCUGGUGUAGCGGUGGAAUGCGCAGAUAUCAGGAGGAACACCGAUGGCGAAGGCAGGUCACUGGGCCGCAACUGACGCUGAGGAGCGAAAGCAUGGGGGAGCGAAACAGGA
rnacentral:rRNA from 1 species